ACACAGUUUGUCGAAAUAAAUUAUCGACAUCGAAGAAGAUUAGUAUUGCACAUCACUAUUUGUUGUAGGUAUACAUUUUUCGAUUUAUGGUGCCGGCGCUAGAGGCACGACAAUUGAUUUUAAGCUCGGCGGUUAAAGGGU